UGAUCUUGAAAUAAUGUUAAGGAAACAUAGUUGACAGAAGCUGAGAAAAGAAGAGAGAUUCAGGUUGAGGUUGGCAUUCCAUCACUAAGACAUCAUAUUGCUCUAUGAAGAAUAACAAAAAUGCAGAAAUUCAGUUAAGGGAAAUCGGUUUCUUUAUUUUGGAUUCCCAUUCUCACAAGACUUGCUUUUACAAAACCAAAGAUACAAGCCAGUUGAGUAGAAGUUAGAAACUGAACUAGUUACUAAGGAUGGUAUUCUGAGAUUCUGACUUCAUCAAUGAACCUGCUCAUGGAGUAUCCACGUGAAGUCACGGGCUGCAGAUACCAAGAAAUUUUCAGCAGGCAUGAGUGUAUUUGAGAGGCCCGUAAUAGAUCAGGAUGAAGGAGGUGGACAAGCCUACUGAAUGAGCUGAGCCUCAACCAAGUCCUUGACAGAGCGCCCCAGUCACUGGCUACCUCCCUUCUUCCACAAAAGCCUUCAUCCACUUUUUCCCUUUCCUCACCAAAGCCCAUCCUGCAGCCACUUCCUUCUGGCAGUGCUCGAAAGGACAAAAGAAAGGAAGAGAGAAAGGAAGAAAGAAAAGAAGAGAGAAAGGAAGAAAGAAAGGAAGAAAGGAAGAAAGGAAGAAAGGAAAGAAAGGAAGGGAAGGGAAGG
rnacentral:lncRNA from 1 species